GACGAACGCUGGCGGCGUGCUUAACACAUGCAAGUCGAACGGAAAGGCCCUGCUUUUGUGGGGUGCUCGAGUGGCGAACGGGUGAGUAACACGUGAGUAACCUUCCCUUGACUUUGGGAUAACUUCAGGAAACUGGGGCUAAUACCGGAUAGGAGCUCCUGCUGCAUGGUGGGGGUUGGAAAGUUUCGGCGGUUGGGGAUGGACUCGCGGCUUAUCAGCUUGUUGGUGGGGUAGUGGCUUACCAAGGCUUUGGCGGGUAGCCGGCCUGGGAGGGUGACCGGGCACAUUAGGACUGCGAUACGGCCCAGACUCCUACGGGAGGCAGCAGUGGGGAAUAUUGCACAAUGGGCGGAAGCCUGAUGAAGAAACGCCGGGUGCGGGAUGAAGGCCUUCGGGUUGUAAACCGCUUUAGCCUGUGACGAAGCGUGAGUGACGGUAAUGGGUAAAGAAGCACCGGCUAACUACGUG
rnacentral:rRNA from 1 species